rnacentral:rRNA from 1 species
GUCGGCUGAAGACUCUACUUGAUAGCUGAGAGGGAGGUGCAUGGCCGUCGUCAGUUUCGUACUGUGAAGCAUCCUGUUAAGUCAGGCAACGAGCGAGACCCACGCCAACAGUUUGCCAGCUCGUCCUCCGGGAUGGUGGGGACACUGUUGGGACCGCCUCUGCUAAAGAGGAGGAAGGAAUGGGCAACGGUAGGUCAGCAUGCCCCGAAUUUAUCUGGGCUACACGCGGGCUACAAUGGGUGGACAAUGGGUAUCGACACCGAAAGGUAAAGGCAAUCUCCUAAACCCAUCCGUAGUUCGGAUUGUGGGCUGCAACUCGCCCACAUGAAGCUGGAAUCUGUAGUAAUCGUGUCUCAAAAUGGCACGGUGAAUAUGUCCCUGCUCCUU